rnacentral:rRNA from 1 species
UACGUAGGUGGCAAGCGUUGUCCGGAUUUAUUGGGCGUAAAGCGAGCGCAGGCGGUUUCUUAAGUCUGAUGUGAAAGCCCCCGGCUCAACCGGGGGAGGUCAUUGGAAACUGGGGGACUUGAGUGCAGGAGAGGAGAGUGGAAUUCCAGGUGUAGCGGUGAAAUGCGUAGAUAUUAGGAGGAACACCAGUGGCGAAGGCGGCUCCCUGGGCUGUAACUGACGCUGAGGCGCGAAAGCGUGGGGAGCAAACAGG